AUCGCCAGUAGGUCCGACAUCACCCUAAGAACCAAAGGAGACAUCUCAAGAGUUACACUGCAGAGUAUAUUGUAUGGUCUUGUUGUGUGUAUUGAUGCUUAGAUAAAGGGGUAUGCACUACAGUAAGUGCACAUGUGAGAAUCUACAGGUGAAGGUUCAGGUAGGUAGAGUAGACGUCAACUGACAAAGGCAUGCUCACCUCUUUUCCCAUUUGUCCAUGAGAGCCUUGCAACCCUUUGAGCCCCUGUAGACCUCGAUCUCCAGGCUGCCCUGGAGGACCAAACUUCCCACAAGGCCCUAGGUCCCCCUAGAAUACAUGUGAAGUAGAAGAAGUAUUGAGAGGUGAAAAAUAUAUUGAAACCAUGUGUUUGUAGAGGCAUCAUGGUGUCAGUAUCCCUGACCUGUUCCCCUUUCGUUCCUGGUGGCCCCUCUAACCCUGAUUGGCCAGGAGUACCCUGGAAACAGGAAACGGAAGAGAACUAUCAGAAAAUGCACCCGCCUGAAACAUUAGACUUCCUAUUGGAAGUGUGUUCAACCAACCUGUUCCCCAUCCAGUCCCGAAGGACCAAGAUCACCAGGAGGUCCCAGCACACCCUGUCAUGUUCCAAAAACAGUGUGGUUUAACACACAGCACAUCAAACAUUGCUAGAUCAUAUUUAGGCUUGCAGAAUUCUGGCAACUUUUCAAAUCAGUAGGAAUAAGCAGGAAAUCCUCCAACUAGGAUAUCUUGAAAACCGGAACUUUUUGGGGAAAGUUACCGGAGUUUUGCAUUCCUAGACAUAUUAUUGUCGUCGUCUCAUUAUCUUUGCUGUACUUACCAUUUCUCCUCUUUCCCCUGCUGGUCCUAUGAGUCCACCAGCACCUGAAAUUCCCUGGGAAUUGGACCACAUAGAGUUUAAAACGAUGGACAACACAGCACACUGAAACAUGGCUAAAGAGCUGCGCUUGGUAUCCCAAACCAUGCCAAAUAAGCAUCCGAUAGGCAUCAAUGUCCCAUACGAGAUUAUACAGAGGUUCUAGAGGUUUACGGUCCUCAGAGGUUGUUUAGAGGAGAAGAGAGCAGCGGCUGGAAAGUACCCACUCACUGGGGUUCCAGCUGGUCCGCCAGGACAUUGUGUUCCCGGAGGCCCUCUGCUUCCCCUGGGCCCCGGCUUCCCUGUCCCUCCAUCUGAACCCUGCAGACCCGGGGGUCCCUGGAACACACAGGCCCUCUGACCCUGUGGGUCCCAGAUCCCCCAGCCGACCCUUACGAGAAAACCAUGAGAGAUCAUUAAGGAGGAAAAGUAUGGACUACAAAAUACAGCCAAUGACCAUCGCAUUGCGGAUUGAUUUUUCAAAGGAGAUAUUUGGGAAAUGUAGUUCUGGUAUUGGACACUUCUUUGGACACUGUGUUAACUAACCUCCAGACAAGCUUCAAUGCUAUACAACUCUCCUUCCGUGGCCUCCAACUGCUCUUAAAUGCAAGUAAAACUAAAUGCAUGCUCUUCAA